CUUCUACCAACAUACCCUCUAGGAGUUCAUGGGUUUACUUAAUUGGUGCUUACUGGUUUAAUUAUGGCACUUGGACUUAAUUGGUGUCAUGUGACCUACAUGAGAUCCUGUGAUGUCCAGUGUAGCCCUCUGUCUCUCUUUUUACCACACAGAACUGUCAACAUCUGAUGGAAAGCUAUAGGACACUUUUACAAGUUAUAUCAAUUCAAAUCAACAGAUUGUGUCAAGGUAGCAAUGCUUGGAAGAAAGACUUGAACUGAGAUAUUUCAAACAUUAUGAGAAUGCUAAUGCUUAUGUCGAUGACCAUUCAAACUUGGACGGGGACAAAGGGAAAGGACAGAGGCUCUUGACACGCUGAAGCUUUCCAAAGAAAAGUUGAAGGCAGAGUUGUGUUAAAUUCGCUGCCAAUGACUGAUAAAGGGAGGAUGGAAGAUCUGGUCAGUUACCUUUGGUAGACUUACAGGCCUGUCAGUGACGGAGAAUGGAAGACCUGCUCAGCUACUUUUGCUAGGCUAGUGAGACUUACAGACCUAUUAGUGAUGGGGGAUCCCUUAAUGUGUGUGACAGCCAAUUAAACUUCUACGGAUUCAUAUCUUGAUUGAAUUGACCUGAAACCUUUACUUAAAGAGAGCAACGCUUGCCAAUUGAACAUUUUGCUCAAGAUUC